CUCAUUUAAGGGUUGGCAGUGGAAGUGAGGGCAUCUUUUGCUGCAGAUCCCUGUGCAUCUGAGGCCUUCUGAAGACAGCAGCACACAACAGUUCCUGUCCCUUUGCCAUAUAACACACCAGGAAGAAGCUGCUUCUGUUCCAUGUCAGUGUUAAAUAACAGCAACAAAGCAGAGAUGAGCCCAAAAGCCAAACCAGUAACAUGAUCUAACAACAGGGGAGAGAAAAACUGGCUUAGGGAAAAUGAGAUUUCCUUCAUCGAAGAGCAACUUUUCUUAUGUGAGAAGUUCUCACGUGAUUAUUAUCACAAUAUCUUCAGAUCAACAUAAAACCAAGCUCCAAGUUGAUUAACACAAUU